rnacentral:rRNA from 1 species
AGAGUUUGAUCCUGGCUCAGAUUGAACGCUGGCGGCAUGCUUUACACAUGCAAGUCGAGCGGCAGCGCGGGGGCAACUCUGGCGGCGAGCGGCGGACGGGUGAGUAAUGCAUCGGAACGUAUCCCGUAGUGGGGGACAACCCAGCGAAAGCUGGGCUAAUACCGCAUAUGCUCCACGGAGGAAAGGGGGGGAUCCGCAAGGACCUCCUGCUAUGGGAGCGGCCGAUGUCCGAUUAGCUAGUUGGUGGGGUAAAGGCUUACCAAGGCGACGAUCGGUAGCUGGUCUGAGAGGAUGAUCAGCCACACUGGGACUGAGACACGGCCCAGACUCCUACGGGAGGCAGCAGUGGGGAAUUUUGGACAAUGGGGGCAACCCUGAUCCAGCCAUGCCGCGUGCGGGAAGAAGGCCUUCGGGUUGUAAA